rnacentral:ribozyme from 1 species
CAUACACCAUCGAAACGAAACGAUACAACACCAUAGAUAUAAGGAAAAUGUAAAAAUCGAAAGGUGUGUGUGCCCCAGCGUAUAAAUGUAACAAAGAUGAAUCAUUCUCCUUUUUCGCCAUUCUUUUUUUUAUGUUUCGUGC